rnacentral:rRNA from 1 species
GGGCCGGGCCGGCGUCGCAGUCCUCGCAGGACCCGACGCACUUCCUCCCGCCCCCAGGACGCCGCAGCCGGUUGGGUAGCUGCGCGAGUCGGCCAUAAGGACGGGCAGCGGAAGGUGGCCAGUGGCGUUCCCCCCGUGUUCGUCGCUGGUCGUUAUCCAGCCCGCCCGUGGCGCGACACCCGACCGAGGUCGACGGUCCUUUUUCGGGACCGUGCCGUCCCCUCCCCCGUGGUCGAGCAGGAGCGCCGGCAGGCGAUUCCCCGUGCGUCCGUUUCACUCUCCGAGUGGGCGGUCGCCGGGUGGCGCCGUUGGCGAGGACGUUCCCUGCGCGGGGCUCACAGGCGGCUCGCGGCGAGUAGGUCGGUCACCCACCCGACCCGUCUUGAAACACGGACCAAGGAGUCUAACAUGUGCGCGAGUCACGGGGUCUUGUUCAGGCCCAGAGGCGCAAUGAAAGUAAAGGGCGGCCCC